rnacentral:rRNA from 1 species
GACAGCAGCAGCCACGGGAAUACGGAGGGAGCUAGCGUUGUUCGGAAUUACUGGGCGUAAAGCGCACGUAGGCGGUUUAUCAAGUCAGAGGUGAAAGCCCGGGGCUCAACCCCGGAACUGCCUUUGAAACUAGUAGACUUGAAUCUUGGAGAGGUCAGUGGAAUUCCGAGUGUAGAGGUGAAAUUCGUAGAUAUUCGGAAGAACACCAGUGGCGAAGGCGACUGACUGGACAAGUAUUGACGCUGAGGUGCGAAAGCGUGGGGAGCAAACAGGAUUAGAUACCCCAGUAGUCCCUGUCUCUUAUAC